rnacentral:rRNA from 1 species
AUUGAACGCUGGCGGCAGGCCUAACACAUGCAAGUCGAACGAGUGCCGGACGGGUGAUUAUUGUCUGGGAACCUCCCCGUUGGAGGGGAAUAACUACGGAAAACGGUGGCUAAUCCCGCAUACUAUCGGAUGUCCCCGAAUGGGAUUAGCUAGUAGGUGGGGUAACGGCUCACCUAGGCGACGAUCCCUAGCUGGUCUGAGAGGAUGCCCAGCCACACUGGAACUGAGACACGGUCCAGACUCCUACGGGAGGCAGCAGUGGGGAAUAUUGCACAAUGGGCGCAAGCCUGAUGCAGCCAGGCCGCGUGUAUGAAGAAGGCCUUCGGGUUGUAAAGUACUUUCAGCGAGGAGGCGUUACUCGCAGAAGAAGCACCGGCUAACUCCGUGCCAGCAGCCGCGGUAAUUC